rnacentral:rRNA from 1 species
CGAACGCUGGCGGCGCGUCUUAAGCAUGCAAGUCGAACGGCAAGAGGUAGCAAUACCUCCUAGAGUGGCGGACUGGUGAGUAACACGUGGGUGACAUACCCUUCAGAUGGGGAUAGCUAUUAGAAAUAGUAGAUAAUACCGAAUACGAGCACAGGGGUUAGAGAUCUGUGAGGAAAGGAGCUAAGGCUCCGCUGAAGGAAUGGCCUGCGGCCCAUUAGCUAGUUGGUGAGGUAAGAGCCCACCAAGGCGAUGAUGGGUAUCCGGCCUUAGAGGGUGAACGGACACAUUGGGACUGAGAUACGGCCCAGACUCCUACGGGAGGCAGCAGCUAAGAAUAUUCCGCAAUGGACGAAAGUCUGACGGAGCGACGCCGCGUGGAUGAAGAAGGCCGGAAGGUUGUAAAAUCCUUUUGAAACUGAAGAAUAAGCGUUGUAGGGAAUGACAGCGUGGUGACAGUAGGUUUUGAAUAAGCAACGGCUAAUUACGUGCCAGCAGCGGC